GGACCCGCACAAGCGGUGGAUGAUGUGGUUUAAUUCGAUGCAACGCGAAAAACCUUACCCACCUUUGACAUGUACGGAAGUUGCCAGAGAUGGCUUCGUGCUCGAAAGAGAGCCGUAACACAGGUGCUGCAUGGCUGUCGUCAGCUCGUGUCGUGAGAUGUUGGGUUAAGUCCCGCAACGAGCGCAACCCUUGUCAUUAGUUGCUACAUUUAGUUGGGCACUCUAAUGAGACUGCCGGUGACAAACCGGAGGAAGGUGGGGAUGACGUCAAGUCCUCAUGGCCCUUAUAGGUGGGGCUACACACGUCAUACAAUGGCUGGUACAAAGGGUUGCCAACCCGCGAGGGGGAGCUAAUCCCACAAAGCCAGUCGUAGUCCGGAUCGUAGUCUGCAACUCGACUGCGUGAAGUCGGAAUCGCUAGUAAUCGUGGAUCAGAAUGUCACGGUGAAUACGUUCCCGGGUCUU
rnacentral:rRNA from 1 species